CUCUUCUUCCUUCCUUCCUUCCCUCUCCCUACUCCUCUUCCUCCUUUCGUUGAGACAAGGUCUCAUUGUGUAAGCACAGGUACCUUGGAACUAACAGUGUAGACCAGAUUGACUUUAAACUCCCAGAGAUCUCUCUGCCCCUCUUGGCCUCCUGAGUGCUGAGAGUAAAGGUCUACACCACCAUGCUUGGCUAAUCCUUUUCUUUUUAAGGCAGAGAUUCCUGUAGUAGCCAGUGACACCCUUGAAGUCGGGAUCCUCAAACCUCCAUGUUCCAAGUGCUGCACUUACAGGCGUGUGACAUCUUGCUGAGCUUAAAACCUUGAGGGAGCUGACAAUCCGGAAUGAUGGAGCCUUCUGUGUGACUUUAAGGGUGUGCCCUGGAGACUAUUCAAGCUGUAGCUGAAUGUUGACCUGUGCUGUUGGAGGCAGUUCCAGGUUUGCUAUCUCUGCCACCCCUCAGAGCUGUGCUAUCAGCUUUGGGCAGGACUGAGUCUGGUGGUGGGGAUUUUAGGGCAGAGGAGAAGGCAAGGGAGGCACGUGGUUUUCUUCAAAGUUUAAAAAAUAAAAAUGUAGCU
rnacentral:lncRNA from 1 species